rnacentral:rRNA from 1 species
AGUGAACGCUGGCGGUAGGCCUAACACAUGCAAGUCGAACGGCAGCACAGUAAGAGCUUGCUCUUACGGGUGGCGAGUGGCGGACGGGUGAGGAAUACAUCGGAAUCUACUUUUUCGUGGGGGAUAACGUAGGGAAACUUACGCUAAUACCUCAUACGACCUACGGGUGAAAGCAGGGGAUCUUCGGACCUUGCGCGAUUGAAUUAGCCGAUGUCGGAUUAGCUAGUUGGCGGGGUAAAGGCCCACCAAGGCGACGAUCCGUAGCUGGUCUGAGAGGAUGAUCAGCCACACUGGAACUGAGACACGGUCCAGACUCCUACGGGAGGCAGCAGUGGGGAAUAUUGGACAAUGGGCGCAAGCCUGAUCCAGCCAUACCGCGUGGGUGAAGAAGGCCUUCGGGUUGUAAAGCCCUUUUGUUGGGAAAGAAAAGAAGCAGGUUAAUACCCCGCUGUUCUGACGGUACCCAAAGAAUAAGCACCGGCUAACUUCGUG